ACGCCGAGAGAGGAGGUGAUCCGGUACAUGUAUGAAUCCCGGACGAGCGAGGUGGCUGCGGGCUAGCGGCUCGCCACCACACGCAGUGCGGUGCCGGACCAGCACGUGAGAAAAGCGUGCAGCCGGCCCAAUCCAACGCAGUCACCCGACCCGCGAGCUCGCCGGUAACGUCCGGCCGGCUCCCCCGCCACCGGCGGAGGGACCCGAGCUCGCGGGUCGUCUGCG
rnacentral:sRNA from 1 species